AUGGCGAAUUAUAAGCGAGGCUUUCUAACACGAAUUGGCUUAUACCAAUGUACGACUAUUACUGAGCUGAGAAUAUGAGAAGUCGACAACAAAAUCACGACAAAGUCGAGACAAGAAGUCGCUUGAUAAAAAAAGAAAAAAAAAAUAAAAUAUCAAAAGAUAGGUCCUUAUCGCGAAUUUCCUAGAAUCGUAUCCGUUCGGCUGGAGACGAUCAAACGGGGGUGACGUAAUUUUGGUACAAUAAUAUUUUAUUGCUUUGUUCGAUGUUUUAACGAUCGCCAAAUUACUGCCUAGUUAACAAUGUGUAAUUUUUUGAAUGUGCAGGUGUUCGAUUUUUGGGGAAGAAAAAUGCUUGUCGAAGAUUUAUGGUCAUCCAUCAAACAGUGGUCAAGUUUUCAUCGAUGAUAUUGGCGACAUAGAUUGCAACAUUUUCGACGUGGGAUCAACCGGUUUUUUCGUGAGUAAAUUUUGAGUAUUAUUUUAUCAUGGAUUAUGAACAUUUUAAUUGAUUUUUUCAAUUCUACAGGGUGUUUAGAAAUGAUCGAGACGACAAGAAAAGGUUCAACUGGUAUUGGAUGUAUUAGUCGAUUUAUAUCGUGAUUAAGCCUGAGAAGGAUUUUUGGCAUUCCUCAUUCUAGAAUUUGGAAUUUUUUGGGAUUGGAUCGAGAUGACAGGUGUGAACGUGUUCGUGAUUUCUAAACAGUAUUAACGACUGAAAGGUACGAUGUUGAAAGUCGACUCGCGAAAAGGAAUGACCUAAAUCAAUCGUACUUUCAAGAUUUAUUUGAGGCUACGGGAGCUUCCCAUUAUCCUAGAAUUUUGGGAAAGUGAAAUGGAAUUGACGACUAGGAAUGUGUUUUGUAACCAUCAUCGGGGGAAAUUCUUGAAUAACAAACAAGUGAGCUAUAAAUUUGGAUUUUACGUGUGAAUACUAUUCCUAUCUAUUUUUCGAAUGGUGUGUAAUUUUGUACAGGUUUUCAGAAUUUGAAAUUUCGACGAUAUUUUGGGAAGCUGUGUUGAUUUGAAAUUCCUUAUCUUAUGGUCAUUAACGUACUGCAAAUUUUGGCGAAAACGUGUGAUGUUGAACCGGAUCUAGAUCCUAAUUUGUAGAUUCAUUCAUCGUGUACAAGGAAUAAAAUACUUCAGCGAUGUAUUUUAUCGUUCCUGAAUGCUACUUCUAAUACAGAUUUUUUGAAAAAAUAUAUGAUCGUUUUGAGUGCACAAAAGGAGCGACGUGGGACCGAAGAAUUUAGCAACCGGAUUCAUGCUUCAAUAUUGGGUGAGAGUUGAUUAAUUUAUUUAUUUAGACGCUGUUAAUUUGGAUUAUGAUCGAGAAGAAUUUUUUGAAGAAAUGUGGACACGGAUAAUGUGUAUUCGA